UACGUAGGGGGCAAGCGUUGUCCGGAAUCAUUGGGCGUAAAGAGCGUGUAGGCGGCCCGGUAAGUCCGCUGUGAAAGUCCAGGGCUCAACCCUGGAAUGCCGGUGGAAACUGUCGGGCUAGAGUCCGGAAGAGGCGAGUGGAAUUCCUGGUGUAGCGGUGAAAUGCGCAGAUAUCGGGAGGAACACCAAUGGCGAAGGCAGCUCGCUGGGACGGUACUGACGCUGAGACGCGAAAGCGUGGGGAGCAAACAGG
rnacentral:rRNA from 1 species